rnacentral:rRNA from 1 species
GUCAGGACGAACGCUGGCGGCGUGCCUAACACAUGCAAGUCGAGCGAGGAGAUUCCUUCGGGAUGAUCCUAGCGGCGGACGGGUGAGUAACACGUGGGCAACCUGCCUCAUAGAGAGGAAUAGCCUUCCGAAAGGGAGAUUAAUACCUCAUAACAUUGCAGUUUCGCAUGGAACAGCAAUUAAAGGAGUAAUCCGCUAUGAGAUGGGCCCGCGGCGCAUUAGCUAGUUGGUGAGGUAACGGCUCACCAAGGCGACGAUGCGUAGCCGACCUGAGAGGGUGAUCGGCCACAUUGGGACUGAGACACGGCCCAGACUCCUACGGGAGGCAGCAGUGGGGAAUAUUGCACAAUGGGGGAAACCCUGAUGCAGCAACGCCGCGUGAGUGAUGACGGCCUUCGGGUUGUAAAGCUCUGUCUUCAGGGACGAUAAUGACGGUACCUGAGGAGGAAGCCACGGCUAACUACGUGCCAGCCGCGGC